UACACAGAGAAAGACACAAAUUGCCAAUGGAUGCGCAAGGAAAUAUUCCAUCGUGUUAUAAUCUAGCUACAGGAGAAACUGAACAGCGCAGGCAUGUCAGAUGGCACAAAACUAUACUGGAGGACUCAACCUGAUGGCCAAAUCUUCCAUCUAAAGGACAAGGUAACAGGUUUGCAACAUCUAGUAACUGAAGGGUCUGUGAAUGUGGAAGAAACAAAUCUUCAGUGUGUCUGGAAUCACAGAGGGAUCUGAGGAGCAGAGCAGCCCAAUAUGCAUUGAUUUGCACAUAAUGCAAGGAAAUGUUUGCUCUGUACUGAAUUCAUGAUAAUACAAGUGAUUUUCUAUCCUUCUGCAUCUCCAUAAGAUAAACCUUCAUUUGUGCUGAUCCAGAAACAGAUGAUUGCUUAUUGCAUUUCAAGCCUCACAGUACUUACUGCUUUCCUUGGUGUGUUUCCGUUUAAUAGACGAUAAACAUUUAUAGGAGAAAAUAUUUUCCGUAGCCUCAUGAUUCCAGGGUUUUGGGUUUUAACUCUCUGCCUGUAUUUGUUCUGUAUUUGUGAAGCUUGAAUGUUCUCCUGCCAUUUGCAUGGGUCUCCUUUGGAUACACAAGUUACCCUCCACAACUGUUGAUAAUAACAUUUAAUAACAUACAGCAAAUUACAAA